UUCUUGGGAAGAAAAGUUUUUCUUUUUAAUUAAAAGUCACAUACAAAAGGAAUAUUCCACAUUAGGUUGCUAUAAAACGUUCAUUUGUACAUCUUAUUAUACAGAUCAGCACAGCUCUGUGGUAAAUGACACUUUAAACCUUUACUCUAAUAAAUGCAUAUGAAUUCAAUAAAAAUGUUCACGCAUCUGUGUUAAACAAAAUUCAACAGAUGUUGCACACAUACAGGUCAAAACAUCUGAAGCGUCACAAUAGUUUAUAAAAAGACACCUGUGUUAUUCUAUUUGGAUGCAUAGCUUUAAGUACAGUUCUUACAAGGCUUUUUUAAACAUUUUUUUAAAAUUCAUUAUCCAAAAGAAGGGGGGAAACCACUGAAUUGAAAACGUCUUAUCUGUAGAAUCUGUCUACGCAGUAAAAAUCUCAGAGCCUAGCAGGCAAAUAUACUGGCUUUUGAAUAAAAAAAAAAAUUCUGACUGUAUCUGGAAGAAAACCAUGACUUAAGUGCAAAAUCUUUAAAAUAUCAGGAAAUGUUUAUCUAUGUUGCCAUUUUUGCUGGCUGAGGAUUGAGUUACGCCGAGUUCUGUGAUUGUACUUUACUUGCUCAGACUUCCUCCACAGGUUUUCUCACUCUCUCUAUUUAAAAACUACAUUCAUCAGGCGCUGUAAUGACAAUAUACUUAGCCAAGAGGUAGGCUGGAAAACAACCAUCAGACACGACACUGAUCUGCAGCCAGAACCAAUAAACAUUUGGCUGCUUUAAAAGUUGAAGAAGGAAAAGCUGGUGUCCUGUUGUGCACACGAGAGAAGUCUGACCUCUCCUGUUCUGCUCCUCAUUUAUCAGGGAAAUCAUCUAAGAAAUUUACCGUCAAAGGAUGGCAGCAAAAAAACAUCAGGUAGCUUCAAAAGGAACAGAACAAAAUGCUUGUGCUCCAAAUCAAACAGCCCAUUUUACAGAUAUGGAAUAUGAGAAGAUUAUUAAGUGGCCACUAAAUAAAAACAGGGAAUCAGUGCUGGAUUUAAGAGAGUUUAGGUCAGGUUUGCAAGAACAGAAAUUCUCAGUGUUACUCACUUUGAGCAGUGCUCAUUGGCUCAAGUUUGGUCACUUUGUAAUGGUUAUAUUCAAAACAGCGCUGAUUUAUUAGCUGCAGAGCAUUCCGUGCACACGCACUUGAUUUUCUGCUACAACAUGUAUAAAGUUUUAAUAGAAAUGGUAGAAGCUCGUUCUGCAUACUUAUUAGUUUUUUAGAUGCUGCAAAUACUUUAAACUGGAAGUUUAUGAGCCCCACUCUUAAUUUUUCCUAACAAGUAAGCAGUUUAACAGUGGCCAUGUGACAUCAAUAAAGUUAUAUACUGUUAAAAAAAUUUUAAACAACACAAUACAGACGUCUUGAGUCACCGUCUUUAUAUUUUGCUUCCAAGCAUGGUGGUGCUGAGAAAUACUUCUACAAAGUUUUCCAAAGGUCUUCCAGAGUUUUUCUUUGGGCACUGGCUGUUUUUUCCAUUCAUUUUCAGUUCAAUCCUUGUACCCGACUACUUUCAGGGGAAGGCUGUUUUCUUUGUUUGGCCAUAUAUAUGAAUGAUUGAAGCAUAAAAGGCACCAAACUCGAGGGAUGAAGCAGUGUUGUGUUCAUAAAACCAUCAGACCUGUUUCCAUUGAGACAACUAACAGACAACUUAGCAAAGAACCAGUUCUAGUUACAAUUCAUCUUACAGCCAUCGAUAAAGCAUGGUGGAGGCUGUGUCAUUGUUUUAGGCUUUCGAUUUAGCCAGUGUAGUAGGAGUCAUAGCCUGGCCUUCCUAGAGCCGGAGCUUUAACAUUACUGAAUAAUCAUUCUGACAGAAGAGCCAACGUCAAACGAAUAUGUGGAAUAACUGGAAUGAAGAAUAAAGGUGGUCUUAUUGAAUAUUGACUUUCAAACACUGCUUAUCAAUUUCCAAGCAAAAUAUAAAGAAAAGAAGACUUUUGCACAGUACUGUAUUUUAGUAGGAUUACUUUAUAAGAGAAAGACUUGCAUAUACUGAAUAUCCUGCAUUUUCAUAAAAGAAACAAAGUAAGUAAUUUUUGCCUAUUUGUUAAAAGCCAUCUUCACAUGUAUCACAACUUUCACUUCCAGCUCACAGCAAUGUCUAAGCGUGACUUAGUUUCAGUACCUCUGGCUGUCAUGUUGAUUUCCAAAUGGAUUCACAGUUGCAGUGUUUAUAUUUGACAGCAGUUCAGCCUUCGGAAACACUGGUCUAACAGGGUGCUCCCUGUUUUUUUUUUUUUUUAGAAAAAGCAAAAACAUUAACAGUGCACGACCAACUGCAAGUGAAAAGAAGCUUCUGGGGAGUUUCUACAUGGGGGUUACAAAAAUAAUGUCAUCUGAAAACAUACUAGCAAAGCUCAUUUUACACGGUGGAGACGCUGUAGGCUGCAAAGUGUUUCACUUGGUGAACUCACAAGGCUUUUAAUUGUUAACUUUCUACGUCUUACUUGAAGAUGGAGAACUGACUUGCCUGCUAGUGCAACAAGAACGGCAAAGAGAAAUGCACGCUGGUUACUGGAAGGUUUUUUUGAGGUCAGGUUAAUCUGUGGAAACGCAGAGGGUAGAGAAGCAAAAAAGAUAUUUCUUAGGAAAAUAAAAGUGUAGAAUAAAAGCUUGACCUUGGUAGUGCUUCUGUAUGAAAUUGAGUUUUUGUUUACAGCUGUGGAGCUGCACAGGAGGGUCAAAAUAAAAAAAUUGCCAUGCCAAAGAUAAAAAGAUUCAAAUAGUACUUUAAAAUUCCCUGAAAGAAGAACUCGGAGCUGUCUUUGUUAGAUUUCUACAUCAAGUCCUUCUUACCAGACUGUUUCUCUAAAUACAAAGCUCCCCUCAUUCUGAACAUUUCUGACAUAAUUUGAUGUUAUAUUCCUCCAGAAAAGAGAAACUUUUGACCUUGAAAGUCUCCAUUUUCCAUGGAACGAAAAACAGCAACCCACAAACUGCCCUGAUAAUUAAAUAAACAGAGUACACCGCUUCUAAAAGGAAGAAGUACAAGCAAAAUAAAUAAAAGCUGAGUGAUGUAUUCCUGUGUUAAGCUCAAAGAUGAACUGGUAACCUCGGUUUUGAAGAAACACGAGGAUCACAUAAUGAACCUCGCGCCCUGAAAGUGUCUCAGCUUUUCUGUGGCGAUUAAUCUACACGGGGGGAACAGAGCUGCUGCGUUCCUGCCCCACCUGAGAGAGAUUUUUUGUUUCAUAUCAGGUAAGAUGUGAUAAUAUUCAAUCCCAUUUGUGCCACAAACAUACCGAGAAUCAAUUUAGAGAUAAGACACUCUUUCUUUUUUUGUUUUAGUGGUGUGUUUUGAAGAAACACCGUGGUGGAGCUUGCACUGAAAUAAAUGAAUACACAAAAAACUCGAGAAGGUCAGUGAGAAUGAAGGAAAUGCCUGCCAAUUGCCUUUUAUUUGAAUUGUCUCCAUUUUUUUCCAAAGUUAAAACAUCAGAGUAAUGCGAUUACAGCUGUAAGUCUGCACUUACAGUUGCGAUUUAUGACUUUGGUGACAUUUCUCAGUUUGGUUUACUCACUUUAAAGUUUCUCUGCCCAGAUUUCCUGUUUGCUCCACAUGACACAGUGACCACAGCAUUACAGACAGUGGCUGGACCAGCGUCCUUAAGGGCUGGCAGCCAAUCCAUCCAUCCAUCCAUCCAUCCAUUCGCUUCCGCUUAUCCUUUUCAGGGUCGCAGGGGUUGCUGGAGCCUAUCCCAGCUGUCAUAGGGCGAGAGGCGGGGUACACCCUGGACAGGUCGUCAGUCUGUCGCAGGGCCAACACACAGGGACAGACAACCAUUCGCACUCACAUUCACUCACACAUUCACACAAUGGCAAUUUGGAUUUUCCAAUUAACCUAUCCCCUCAAGCUGCAUGUCUUUGGACGGUGGGAGGAAGCCGGAGUACCCGGAGGGAACCCACGCAAACACGGGGAGAACAUGCAAACUCCACACAGAAAGACCCCAGCCUGAUGUUGGAAUUGAACUCAGGACCUUCUUGCUGUGCGGCAACAGUGCUAACCACCGUGCCACCGUGCUGCCCUUAUCACUCAAUCAUGAGUGAUAAUUCUAAGUAACCAAUCAAACUCUCCAAAGCCAUACAAGUGUUUUCAAUCAUUGGGGCAGACUGAACAUCCUUCUUGUUGUUACCUUAGCUUUGUAGCGUAUCUGCCUGACGCAGCCAAAUGUCUUUCUGUUCUUUUUUUUAACUAAACCAGUCAAUAUUUUUAAAAAAAAUGAUACGUUACAAUACAAAUAAUUCUUUUUCAUGCGCUGGUAAUAACUUCAAUAUCAGUGAAAGUAAAAUUUAGUUUAUUAGAUGUUCAUGAUACUUAAGUAAAGAACUUUGAUGUUGUCUUAAGAGCUUAAAAAUAAGUGAAUUGAACUGAAAGAAGCCUCUUGGAAACGAGGUGAAAUGUUUCCAAAAAGUCCAGGUUUCAAGCUCUUACACAGACACGAUUUAUGUUGAUAACCAUUUGUUAAAAACUGUAAGAGUAAAUACAAGUAUGCAAACAUAUUUCUUUGGUCAGUUACUCUGAUUUGUUUCUUUCCUUCUUGUACUUGCAUGGCCCAACGUGUCAGGAGUUCUGAAGGAUUUACAGAUGGCUUUUGCACAUGUCAUCCCAAAAACAUGGUGAUUUUUUUUAUCUCUCUGUUGAUAAAAGUUUCUGGUUCAUGGAGUGCUAAAAAGACUCAUGUGCCAACAAAUUCAGAAUCCGACUUUAUCUAUCCAUUCAGAUUCCUGUAAGAUUGUGCAAAUUUGCACAUAUUAAGAUAUAAUGCCUCACUUGCAUAUUGAAACAUUAUAUCCUUAAUGUAAAUAAUGAUCUGGGUAAAUUUCAUGUUGAUCUAUGAGUUUUUACCCUGUUUACCUGGACGAUGCAUGAUAUCUGUCAUUUAUCACCUGUUUCUACUUGUAAAACUCUCUUGAAUAACUGCUGCUGCUGAGGGC
ensembl:lncRNA